UCCCUGGUGGCUCAGACGGUAAAGCGUCUGUCUGUAAUACAGGAGACCCAGGUUUGAUCCCUGGGUUGGGAA
rnacentral:tRNA from 1 species